rnacentral:rRNA from 1 species
GACGAACGCUGGCGGUGUGCUUAACACAUGCAAGUCGAACGGAAAGGCCCUGCUUUUGUGGGGUGCUCGAGUGGCGAACUGGUUAGUAACACGUGGGUAACCUGCCCUUGAGUUUGGGAUAACUUCAGGAAACUGGGGCUAAUACCUAAUAGGAGCGCCUGCUCCAUGGUGGUGGUUGGAAAGCUUCGGCGGUUGGGGAAUGAGUCGCGUGUUAUCAGUUUGUUGGUUGGGUUGGUGGUUACCGAGGCUUCUAAGGGUACCCGGCCUGAGAGGGUGACCGGCCACAUUGGGACUGAGAACCGGCCCAGACUCCUACGGGAGGCAACAGGGGGGAAUAUUGCAACAUGGGGGGAAGCCUGAUGCAGCAAAGCCGGGUGGGGGAUAACGGGCUUCGGGUGGUAGACAGGUUUCGCCUGUGACGAAGCGUGAGUGACGGUACUGGGUAAAGAAGCCCCGGCUAACUACGUG